rnacentral:rRNA from 1 species
AGAGGGUGCGAGCGUUAAUCGGAAUUACUGGGGCGUAAAGGGGCGCGUAGGUGGUUUUGUCAGUGGUAGGUGAAAGGCCCGAGCUUAACUUGAGCAUGCCCUAUGAUACAGCAAGACUAGAGUGCAGUAGAGGGAAGAGGAAUUUCCGGUGUAGCGGUGAAAUGCGUAGAUAUCGGAAAGAACACCGAUGGCGAAGGCAUCUUCCUGGACUGAUACUGACACUGAGGCGCGAAAGCGUGGGGAGCAAACAGGAUUAGAGACCCUGGUAGUCCACGCCGUAAACGAUGAGAACUGGCUGUUGCUAUGCGAUGCAUAGCAGUGGCUGAGCAAACGCAUUAAGUUCUCCGCCUGGGGAGUACGGCCGCAAGGCUA